CAUUAUACGCAGACCAACUCUACUUAUGAUGUCAAUUAGGCCUUUAACAAUAUUCAUAAAAUUACAUAUUUGAAUGAAUGCCUUUGCUUCAGUGAGUAUUCAGAUAAAGCAUCCUUUAUGAAGCAACAUAGCCGCUUCUUUUCUAAGACGUACUGUUUUGCAUUACUUUGCUUUGCAGCUCCUCCUAGGCUUCUCCGGCAGACCUUGUAGUGUCUUCCAUGCUGGACACUUUCAUUAAAUACUAUGAGCACUAUUGACACACCAAAGCAACCUACCAGCGGCCUUCCUGGUGUGCACCAAAGCUCCUCCAGGAUGGACAGCAUAUUCUGUGAAGAAUAUGCUGAGUUCCACCACAUACAUUGAUGCUGUACAACUUUGAAGCAUUUUAGCCAGUUCCAAGGAAUCUAGAUAACAUUGCAUAGGCCUAAUAAUCAAUUAGGUCUUGAGGAAACACACAAUAGACUAGGUUUUAAAUGAAAAGAGGUAUGCAUAAAUAUGUGUAACAUUCCUAGCUGUAUUCUGAGUAAUAUUUGUUUUACUGUGAAGUGGAGCUAAUGAAAUUAGCUAAGUGUUAAUUACAGAAUUUUAAAUUAGACUUAAUUGUCAUUCCUGAAAUCUGUGUGAUGACAUUAGGCACUUUUUAAUUGGUACUGUGAUAUUUAAGAUAAGCCUUACUUGUAUUACAUGUAUCUCUUCAUAUGUUUACCACAAGUGUGGGAUACGCAGAAGUAAGUCCAACUGGACAUAAUGGAUAUAUUUACAAUUAUACAGGUGUAGGAAUGCGGCCUUAUUGCAUUAUUUAUAUAUUUUGUACAAGUUGGAAAUUAUUUCCAUCAAAAUCUU